GAGUUUGAUCCUGGCUCAGAACGAACGCUGGCGGCAUGCCUAACACAUGCAAGUCGAACGAACUCUUCGGAGUUAGUGGCGCACGGGUGCGUAACGCGUGGGAAUCUGCCCUUGGGUACGGAAUAACUCAGAGAAAUUUGUGCUAAUACCGUAUAAUGACUCCGGUCCAAAGAUUUAUCGCCCAAGGAUGAGCCCGCGUAAGAUUAGCUAGUUGGUGGGUAAAGGCCUACCAAGGCUACGAUCUUUAGCUGGUCUGAGAGGAUGAUCAGCCACACUGGGACUGAGACACGGCCCAGACUCCUACGGGAGGCAGCAGUGGGGAAUAUUGGACAAUGGGCGAAAGCCUGAUCCAGCAAUGCCGCGUGAGUGAUGAAGGCCUUAGGGUUGUAAAGCUCUUUUACCCGGGAUGAUAAUGACAGUACCGGGAGAAUAAGCUCCGGCUAACUCCGUGCCAGCCGCCGCCGUAAG
rnacentral:rRNA from 1 species